AUAGAAGAAAUGGAUAAGAAAGGUCAUAGGUAUUUGAUGUUUGCUCUUGUGUUUCCAUGUCAGAGGCUGCUGACAGAUCUCAGGGAUCCUGGAGUGAUAGAUGCCGAAUGCAAUUGAGGAUCUCCAAGGACCUGCAUAGCACAAUGAAUGAACCAGGGAAAUUGUGGGUGAUCCUAUGAGACUACCUUCCUAGCCUACGCAAUCAACCUGGCUGCUGGCAGGUGGCAGGAGCCCCAGGCACAUUUCCCCCACCCCUGGCUUCUGCCAAUCAGGUAAACUGCUCCUGGUUAUGGCCCAGUCCCACCUGGAAAGCUACCAUAGCUACGUGACCUUCAAGCUGAUUGGAGAGGCAUAUUGGUGCCAGUGUCGGUUCUGUCCUAUAGAGUUAGUGUUUGCCCUGAAUUAGUUACGCCCCUUCUGCCUGCUCUUCAAAGACAGUCUGUCCCUUUAAGCCUUUUCCUGGGACCAGGGUAGGCCCAGACACCCAGUCCUAUAGCCAUCAAUGCUGCAAUGCUAGAUCACAC
rnacentral:lncRNA from 1 species